GUAGGUGGCGAGCGUUGUCCGGAAUUAUUGGGCGUAAAGCGCGCGCAGGCGGUUCUUUAAGUCUGAUGUGAAAGCCCACGGCUCAACCGUGGAGGGUCAUUGGAAACUGGAGAACUUGAGUACAGAAGAGGAAAGCGGAAUUCCACGUGUAGCGGUGAAAUGCGUAGAGAUGUGGAGGGACACCAGUGGCGAAGGCGGCUUUCUGGUCUGUAACUGACGCUGAGGCGCGAAAGCGUGGGGAGCAAACAGGAUUAGAUACCCUGGUAGUCCACGCCGUAAACGAUGAGUGCUAAGUGUUAGGGGGGUCUCCGCCCCUUAGUGCUGCAGCUAACGCAUUAAGCACUCCGCCUGGGAGUACGGCCGCAAGGCUG
rnacentral:rRNA from 1 species